rnacentral:rRNA from 1 species
AACGUAGGUUCCGAGCGUUAUCCGGAUUACUGGGCGUAAAGCGCGUUCAGGCGGUUUGGCAAGUCGGGCAUGAAAUCUCUCGGCUCAACCGGGAGAGGUUGUCCGAUACUGCUGGACUUGAGGGCAGUAGAGGGUGGUGGAAUUCCGGGUGUAGUGGGUGAAAUGCGGUAGAUAUCCGGAGGAACACCAGUGGCGAAAGCGGCCACCUGGACUGGCACCUGACGCUGGACACGGCG